GGAGGAGGAGGCUGACAGUGGAGGAAGGACAGCCGGAGCAGGAAGAGGUGGCGGAGUGGCGGUCACCAGUUCGAUUCCCUUCGUCUGCGUGUGUGAAGGAGGUUCGAGGCGGAUCUAUAGCAGGACUUGAAUCUAUGUAAAGGAGGACUGGAAGAGGUCUGCGCCAAUCAGCGGUGAGCACGCCACACGCCCAGCCAAUCAGCGUCGAGGAGGAGCGGCACUCGGCCAAUCAGCGCCCUGCCCGUCGAGUUGAUGCUGUUUGAAGCCUCGGAGCAGCGGAGCGUCUCGACCAAGCAGCUUGUUCGAGGGUGCUGCUGCAGCACUCCAAGUGUGGCAGAGAAGACUGCAGAGCAAGGUGUGGCCGCGCUCCAAGCUCUCCCGCACUAAGAGAUGCCUGUCCUUAACAACUCAAACACCAACAGCAACUUCAAAACUUUCAGUAAAGAAAGCUGGUGAGGAGCCGCGCCUGACUGACUGACUGGUGUUGGGACUGACCCGAAGGAGUGGCCGAGGAAGGGACAGCCUGUGGGGUGGGCGAAGGAACCAUUGUGCCCAAGCCCUUCCUGUGACAGCCUUCAAAGGGCAAUGCUGGCAGCCUCUUCAAUCCAGUGAUGUCAUCCCAGACUCCCGGGCAGUGUCCUCCUCACCCCUAGGGCGACAGCACCCCCAGGCGGCCCCGACACCAACCUCAGCACCACAGGGCCAACAGCUGUGUCAGCAGUCCUGCCCGGGUGACCUGCCUUCCCAGGGCUGGGCAGACGCCCCCCGCCAUGGGGUGCAGGACAGCCGGGGUGCUCCGGCAGCCUCUGGUCCCCAGGGAUCUUCUCACCCGGCAUGGCUGGCCUCCCGGCACCUCCACCUGAAGAAGGGGAAACAUUUCACUGUUUGUUCCUCACAUAAUAAAGCAUCAUGACA